AGAGGCUGAAAUGCUUCGACAGAGGACAAUGUUGGACUUCAGAUGCUCCUGGGACACCAACCAUGAUGUUAGCCCAUCUGAUGAUCUGUGUGCAGUAAACACCAUCUCGUCAUCUCUUCUUCUCUCUGCGUGAACGGAGUCCUUGAGAUCUGAGUCCUCGCUCUAGGUCUCCAGAGGAGGUCAUGUCGGUGACGUCCUAUACCAGCUCUUGCUCGACAUCUUCCCUCUGAUGUUAUACAUGUUUACUUAAUAUUGUAAUUAUGAUGUACAUUAUAUUAAUAGUAAUAAAACAUAUUCAAAAACAU